rnacentral:sRNA from 1 species
UAUCUCUCCGUACGGGGAAGGAUGAGAAGCUUCGACUAAGGUUCGAUUCGAGCGCAGCGAGAAAGCGUUGCCGCAGGCAACGACCCGAAGGGCGAAGCG